UUGUGGAGUAGCUCAGUUGGUAGAGCAUGAAACUCUUAACUUCAGGGUCAUGGGUUUGAGCCCAACAUUGUGCAAA